rnacentral:rRNA from 1 species
UACAGGGGGUGCAAACGUUGCUCGGAAUUAUUGGGCGUAAAGCGCGUGUAGGCGGCCAGGUAAGUCGGAUGUGAAAGCCCGGGGCCCAACCCCGGAACUGCACCCGAUACUGCCUGGCUGGAGUCCCGGAGAGGAUGGCGGAAUUUCCGGUGUAGAGGUGAAAUUCGUAGAUAUCGGAAGGAACACCAGUGGCGAAGGCGGCCAUCUGGACGGUGACUGACGCUGAGACGCGAAAGCGUGGGGAGCAAACAGG